UACGUAGGGCGCAAGCGUUGUUCGGAUUUACUGGGCGUAAAGGGCGCGUAGGCGGCGCGGUAAGUCACUUGUGAAAUCUCUGAGCUUAACUCAGAACGGCCAAGUGAUACUGCAGUGCUAGAGUGCAGAAGGGGCAAUCGGAAUUCUUGGUGUAGCGGUGAAAUGCGUAGAUAUCAAGAGGAACACCUGAGGUGAAGACGGGUUGCUAGGCUGACACUGACGCUGAGGCGCGAAAGCCAGGGGAGCAAACGGG
rnacentral:rRNA from 1 species